rfam:Triticum aestivum genome assembly, contig: Triticum_aestivum_CS42_TGACv1_scaffold_591976_7BS
AUGUUACUCCCUCCAUCCGAAAAAGCUUGUGUCCACCAAAUGGAUGUAUCUAGCACCAAGUUAGUGCUAGAUACAUCCAUUUGAGGGACAAGCUUGGGACAAGCUUUUUCGGACGGAGGGAGUAGAUG